rnacentral:rRNA from 1 species
GAAAGUAAGCAAGGGCAGACGGUGGAUGCCUUGGCUCUCGGAGGCGACGAAGGACGUGAUAAGCUGCGAAAAGCCCGGGGGAGGCGCAAAUAGCCCUUGAUCCCGGGAUAUCCGAAUGGGGCAACCCGGCAGGCUGAAGGCCUGUCAUCCCGUAAGGGAGGCGAACGUGGGGAACUGAAACAUCUAAGUACCCAUAGGAGGAGAAAAUAAACAAUGAUUCCGUAAGUAGUGGCGAGCGAACACGGAAGAGCCCAAACCCAUGUCGUCUAGGCGACACGGGGGUUGUAGGACCACGACGUGGCAAGAUAGAGUCAAGUGGAACGCCUUGGAAAAGGCGGUCAUAGAGGGUGAAAACCCCGUACACGACUGACGAUUGAAGCCUAGUGGCAUCCUGAGUAGCGCGGGGCACGAGAAAUCUUGCGUGAAUUAGCGGGGCCCAUCCCGUAAGGCUAAAUACUCCCGAGAGACCGAUAGCGAACCAGUACCGUGAGGGAAAGGUGAAAAGAACCCCGAGCAGGGGAGUGAAAUAGACCCUGAACCCGUCUGCCUACAAGCGGUCGGAGCGUCGUAAUGACGUGACGGCGUGCCUUUUGCAUAAUGAACCUACGAGUUACCUUCCCCGGCAAGGUUAAGUACCUAAGGUACGGAGCCGAAGCGAAAGCGAGUCUGAAGAGGGCGGCCAGUCGGGGGGGGUAGACGCGAAACCGAGUGAUCUACCCUUGGCCAGGUUGAAGGUUGGGUAACACCAACUGGAGGACCGGAUGGGUAAGCGUUGAAAAGCUUUCCAAUGAGCUGAGGGUAGGGGUGAAAGGCUAAUCAAACUCGGAGAUAGCUCGUACUCCCCGAAAUGCAUUUAGGUGCAGCCUCUUUAUAGUAUAUCGUGAGGUAGAGCGACUGAUUGGAUGCGAGGGCUUCACCGCCUAUCAAGUCCAGAUAAACUCCGAAUGCGCGAUAUAUAUUUACAGGGAGUGAGGGCGCGGGUGCUAAGGUCCGUGUCCGAGAGGAGAAGAAUCCAGACCACCGGCUAAGGCCCCCAAAUGAUCGUUAAGUUGAACUAACGAGGUCGGAUCGCAGAGACAGCUAGGAUGUUGGCUUGGAAGCAGCCAUUCAUUUAAAGAGUGCGUAACAGCUCACUAGUCGAGCGAUCUGGCGUGGAUAAUAAUCGGGCAUAAACGAUCUGCCGAAGCCGCGGAUGUCGCAAGACAUGGUAGGGGAGCAUUCCAUGGGCGUCGAAGAUGAGGGAUGACCCUUGUUGGAGCGCAUGGAAAAGCAAAUGUAGGUAUGAGUAACGAUAAGGGGGGCGAGAAACCCCCCCGCCGAAAGACCAAGGUUUCCUGAUCAACGCUAAUCGGAUCAGGGUGAGUCGGGACCUAAGGCUAAGCCGAACGGCGACGCCGAUGGAAGAAUGGGUUAAUAUUCCCAUACUGCCUCAUGGAGUGACGUGGAGACGGAGAAGUGACAGUCCUGCCGGCUGACGGAAUAGCCGGUUGAAGGGUGUAGAUAUUGAUUCCCGUAGGCAAAUCCGCGGGGAGAGUCGAACCUGACAGUAUACCGAGUACUUGUACGAGGUAAUAUGGACGUAACCAUGCUCCCAAGAAAAUCCGCUAAACUUAUCCAUGCGGCACCCGUACCGUAAACGGACACACGUGGUCGGGUUGAGAAUACUGAGGCGCUCGAGUGACUCACGGUUAAGGAACUAGGCAAAUUGACCCUGUAACUUCGGGAUAAAGGGUCCUCGUCGUAAGGCGAGGCGCAGAGAAUAGGUCCAGGCAACUGUUUAACAAAAACACAUGGCUGUGCUAAAUGGAAACAUGACGUAUACAGCCUGACACCUGCCCGGUGCUGGAAGGUUAAGAGGAGAUGUCAUCGCAAGAGAAGCGUUGAAUUGAAGCCCCAGUAAACGGCGGCCGUAACUAUAACGGUCCUAAGGUAGCGAAAUUCCUUGUCGGGUAAGUUCCGACCUGCACGAAUGGUGUAAUGAUCUGGACACUGUCUCAACCGUGAGCUCGGUGAAAUUGUAGUAUCGGUGAAGAUGCCGAUUACCCGCGAUGGGACGAAAAGACCCCGUGAACCUUUACUAUAGCUUUACAUUGAGUUUGGGCAGACGAUGUGUAGGAUAGGCCGGAGGCUUUGAAGCAGGUACGCCAGUAUUUGUGGAGCCGACGUUGAAAUACGGCCCUUCGGUUGUUUGAGUUCUAACUCCCGGACGGGAGGACACUGUAUGGUGGGUAGUUUGACUGGGGUGGUCGCCUCCAAAAGCGUAACGGAGGCUUCUAAAGGUGCCCUCAGACCGAUUGGUAACCGGUCGCAGAGUGUAAUGGCAUAAGGGCGCUUGACUGGGAGACAUACAAGUCGAUCAGGUAGGAAACUAGAGCAUAGUGAUCCGGUGGUUCCGCAUGGAAGGGCCAUCGCUCAAAGGAUAAAAGGUACUCCGGGGAUAACAGGCUGAUCAUUCCCAAGAGCUCAUAUCGACGGAAUGGUUUGGCACCUCGAUGUCGGCUCGUCACAUCCUGGGGCUGGAGAAGGUCCCAAGGGUUGGGCUGUUCGCCCAUUAAAGUGGCACGCGAGCUGGGUUCAGAACGUCGUGAGACAGUUCGGUCUCUA